rnacentral:lncRNA from 1 species
UCUGAUAUUUCUCAUUUUGAAAACUUUGUCACUGACCAGUAUUGGCUGUGAGCAGGUAUUUGAAAACAAUUGUGUUAGGCUACCUAGAUCUUGUAAUAUAUAGGCAUAUAUACAUACAUACAUAUAUAUAGGAUCCACUGGGGGUCUUAGAACUUGUCCCCCAUGGAGAAGGAGGGACUACUGUAGCUGAUGAGAUCUCUGUAGAAACUACCUCACAGGCAAUGGGUGUGGACCGUGAGCAUCCAAGUUGAAGGGGGAGCAGAAAAGACUGACCUCAUUUGCCCCCAUACUUACUCCAAGUCCUCACCAGGUGUACUUGUCGGCUGUGCCUUCCAGAGGCAAACUUAUCUGGUGGUUGAAGCUGGUAUUUCUUCAAGUAUACGUGAUCCAGCUCUGAUUGAAAAGCACCU